CCUACGGGCGGCAGCAGUGGGGAAUAUUGCACAAUGGGGGAAACCCUGAUGCAGCAACGCCGCGUGGGUGAAGGAGCGUUUCGGCGCGUAAAGCCCUGUCAGCGGGGAAGAAGAAAGACGGUACCCGACCAAGACGCCCCGGCUAACAACGUGCCAGCAGCCGCGGUAAAACGUAGGGGGGGAGCGUUAUCCGGAAUUACGGGGGGUAAAGUGUGCGUAGACGGCGAGGUAAGCCUGAAGUGGAAGCCCCCGGUCCAACCGCGGAAAUGCUUUGGGAACUGUUUUGCUGGAGUAUGGGAGGGGUAAGCGGAAUUCCUGGUGUAGCGGUGAAAUGCGUAGAUAUCAGGAGGAACACCGGUGGCGAAGGCGGCUUACUGGACCAUAACUGACGUUGAGGCUCGAAAGCGUGGGGAGCGAACAGGAUUAGAUACCCUUGUAGUC
rnacentral:rRNA from 1 species